rnacentral:ncRNA from 2 species
AGCUCAUCCAGAGGGGCAGAGGGAAACGGCCCGUUGAAGCCCCGGCAACCCUCCAGCCGGUACUCGUCGAUCAGUGCUGAUCAUCCGCGAGGCUCCCCGGCUAGGGAAGGUGCCAAAUCCGUCUCACGGCGAGAUGCGUCGUGAGGAAGAUGAGGA